rnacentral:rRNA from 1 species
AGCGAACGCUGGCGGCAGGCCUAACACAUGCAAGUCGAACGAACCUUUCGGGGUUAGUGGCGGACGGGUGAGUAACACGUGGGAACGUGCCUUUAGGUUCGGAAUAACUCAGGGAAACUUGUGCUAAUACCGAAUGUGCCCUUCGGGGGAAAGAUUUAUCGCCUUUAGAGCGGCCCGCGUCUGAUUAGCUAGUUGGUUGAGGUAAUGGCUCACCAAGGCGACGAUCAGUAGCUGGUCUGAGAGGAUGAUCAGCCACAUUGGGACUGAGACACGGCCCAAACUCCUACGGGAGGCAACAGUGGGGAAUCUUGCGCAAUGGGCGAAAGCCUGACGCAGCCAUGCCGCGUGAAUGAUGAAGGUCUUAGGAUUGUAAAAUUCUUUCACCGGGGACGAUAAUGACGGUACCCGGAGAAGAAGCCCCGGCUAACUUCGUG